rnacentral:tRNA from 1 species
GCUCCCAUAGUCUAGAGGCCAAGGAUAUCACCCUCUCACGGUGAAGACCCGAGUUCAAAUCUCGGUGGGAGCA